CCUGCACCUGCCGGCGACCGGCGCACGGGUGAGUAACACGUAUGGAACCUGCCCGCCACAGGGGGAUAACCCGGGGAAACCCGGCCUAAUACCCCAUGCCGCCCGGACCGGGCAUCUGGUCCGGGCGAAAGGAGGAAUCCGGUAGCGGCUGGGCAUGCGGCGCAUUAGCUUGACGGCGGGGUAACGGCCCACCGUGGCGACGAUGCGUAGGGGUUCUGAGAGGAAGGCCCCCCACACUGGAACUGAGACACGGUCCAGACUCCUACGGGAGGCAGCAG
rnacentral:rRNA from 1 species